AGUGAACGCUGGCGGUAGGCCUAACACAUGCAAGUCGAACGGCAGCACAGUAAGAGCUUGCUCUUACGGGUGGCGAGUGGCGGACGGGUGAGGAAUACAUCGGAAUCUACUUUUUCGUGGGGGAUAACGUAGGGAAACUUACGCUAAUACCGCAUACGACCUACGGGUGAAAGCAGGGGAUCUUCGGACCUUGCGCGAUUGAAUGAGCCGAUAUCGGAUUAGCUAGUUGGCGGGGUAAAGGCCCACCAAGGCGACGAUCCGUAGCUGGUCUGAGAGGAUGAUCAGCCACGCUGGAACUGAGACACGGUCCAGACUCCUACGGGAGGCAGCAGUGGGGAAUAUUGGACAAUGGGCGCAAGCCUGAUCCAGCCAUACCGCGUGGGUGAAGAAGGCCUUCGGGUUGUAAAGCCCUUUUGUUGGGAAAGAAAAGCAGCAGGUUAAUACCCCGCUGUUCUGACGGUACCCAAAGAAUAAGCACCGGCUAACUUCGUG
rnacentral:rRNA from 1 species